CGUUAUGAAGCUAAAAAGCAUUAACCUUUUAAGUUGAAGAUUGAGAUCUUAUUCUCCAUAACGA
rnacentral:tRNA from 1 species